rnacentral:tRNA from 1 species
GCGGGUGUGGCGGAAUUGGUAGACGCACCAGAUUUAGGUUCUGGCGCCGCGAGGCGUGGGGGUUCGACUCCCUUCACCCGCACCA